CGGACGGGUGAGUAACACGUGGAUAACCUACCUAUAAGACUGGGAUAACUUCGUGAAACCGGAGCUAAUACCGGAUAAUAUAUUGAACCGCAUGGUUCAAUAGUGAAAGACGGUUUUGCUGUCACUUAUAGAUGGAUCCUCGCCGCAUUAGCUAGUUGGUAAGGUAACGGCUUACCAAGGCAACGAUGCGUAGCCGACCUGAGAGGGUGAUCGUCCACACUGGAACUGAGACACGGUCCAG
rnacentral:rRNA from 1 species